rnacentral:misc_RNA from 1 species
UUUCCGUAGGUGAACCUGCGGAAGGAUCAUUACAGAGUUCCUGCCCUACACGGGUAGAUCUCCCACCCUCGUCUACCUACCUUUGUUGCUUUGGCAGGCGUCCACCCCCGGCCGCUUGGCGUCCAGCCAGCGAGUCCUGCCAAAGGUUCCAAAAACCAUUUUCAAGUUUCGUCAGAGUACCAUAUAAUAUUUUAAAACUUUCAACAACGGAUCUCUUGGUUCUGGCAUCGAUGAAGAACGCAGC